AUUGAACGCUGGCGGCAGGCCUAACACAUGCAAGUCGAGCGGAUGAAGGGAGCUUGCUCCUGGAUUCAGCGGCGGACGGGUGAGUAAUGCCUAGGAAUCUGCCUGGUAGUGGGGGAUAACGUCCGGAAACGGGCGCUAAUACCGCAUACGUCCUGAUGGAGAAAGUGGGGGAUCUUCGGACCUCACGCUAUCAGAUGAGCCUAGGUCGGAUUAGCUAGUUGGUGGGGUAAAGGCCUACCAAGGCGACGAUCCGUAACUGGUCUGAGAGGAUGAUCAGUCACACGGGAACUGAGACACGGUCCAGACUCCUACGGGAGGCAGCAGUGGGGAAUAUUGGACAAUGGGCGAAAGCCUGAUCCAGCCAUGCCGCGUGGGGGAAGAAGGUCUUCGGAUUGUAAAGCACUUUAAGUUGGGAGGAAGGGCAGUAAGGUAAUACCUUGCUGUUUUGACGGUACCAACAGAAUAAGCACCGGCUAACUUCGUG
rnacentral:rRNA from 1 species